GAUGAACGCUGGCGGCAGGCUUAACACAUGCAAGUCGAGCGGGGUGAUGGUGCUUGCACUAUCACUUAGCGGCGGACGGGUGAGUAAUGCUUAGGAAUCUGCCUAUUAGUGGGGGACAACAUCUCGAAAGGAAUGCUAAUACCGCAUACGUCCUACGGGAGAAAGCAGGGGAUCUUCGGACCUUGCGCUAAAUGAUGAGCCUAAGUCGGAUUAGCUAGUUGGUGGGGUAAAGGCCUACCAAGGCGACGAUCUGUAGCGGGUCUGAGAGGAUGAUCCGCCACACUGGGACUGAGACACGGCCCAGACUCCUACGGGAGGCAGCAGUGGGGAAUAUUGGACAAUGGGCGGAAGCCUGAUCCAGCCAUGCCGCGUGUGUGAAGAAGGCCUUAUGGUUGUAAAGCACUUUAAGCGAGGAGGAGGCUACUAGUAUUAAUACUACUGGAUAGUGGACGUUACUCGCAGAAUAAGCACCGGCUAACUCUGUGCCAGCCGCCGCCGUAA
rnacentral:rRNA from 1 species